GUGGCCUAAUAGACAAGGCACUGGCCUUGAGAGCUAGAGGUUGUGGGUUCAAGUCCCACCUGGGUUA
rnacentral:tRNA from 1 species